UGGGGAAUAUUGCGCAAUGGGGGCAACCCUGACGCAGCAACGCCGCGUGAUUGAAGAAGGCCUUCGGGUUGUAAAGAUCUUUAAUCAGGGACGAAACAUGACGGUACCUGAAGAAUAAGCUCCGGCUAACUACGUGCCAGCAGCCGCGGUAAUACGUAGGGAGCAAGCGUUAUCCGGAUUUACUGGGUGUAAAGGGCGCGCAGGCGGGCCGGCAAGUUGGGAGUGAAAUCCGGGGGCUUAACCCCCGAACUGCUUUCAAAACUGCUGGUCUUGAGUGAUGGAGAGGCAGGCGGAAUUCCGUGUGUAGCGGUGAAAUGCGUAGAUAUACGGAGGAACACCAGUGGCGAAGGCGGCCUGCUGGACAUUAACUGACGCUGAGGCGCGAAAGCGUGGGGAGCAAACA
rnacentral:rRNA from 1 species